UUCGGAGUAGCUUAGUGGAGAGAGCAGUCGCCCGGCAAGCGAAAGACCCGGGUUCAAUUCCCGGCCUCGGUU
rfam:Cerapachys biroi unplaced genomic scaffold scaffold205, whole genome shotgun sequence.